GUGACAGUGACUGGAGAGCCCAUCUUGCUGACCCACAGGUUUAGGCAAGCUUCACGCUAUGCUACUGGAGUGUCUGUGGCAGACAGCUUUCCUGAGAGGUACCUUCCUGUGCAGCCUUGGCUGCAGGAAACCCCAGCAACUAUGUUGCAACCUCAUGACCCUGCCAUGAAGCCAGCACUGUCAGACGCAGGUGGCUGAGGAACACCAGGUCCCAGCAAAGCAUGGUGUGCCAGUGCCUGAGGCAGUCAGAGGAGAGCAUCAGAUUCAUCUGCCCCCGACCCCGAGUCAG